rnacentral:ncRNA from 2 species
UCUGAACUGGGUGAUGGAGCUCACCCUAACCGCCUAUUAUUAAGGCUGAUGGCUCCUACUAUUCU